rnacentral:lncRNA from 1 species
CCUAGUUCCGGAGAAGCCGCACGCAUUUCCGGAGAAGCUGCACGCUGUUCCGGAGAAGCCGCACGCGCUUCAGGAGAACCCGCGCGCUGUUCCGGAGAAGCCGCACGCUGUUCUGGAGAAUCGUUAGCUGAUCGAUGUAUUCCAUACCAUUUUGACCGAAAGUGACGAACUCGAUGGGGGCUUCGCCGACGACUUGCGAAAUGCGAAGAACGUCUUGAUAUAUAUAUUCUCUACAGCUGUCUGUGUUGGAGAUCGUGAAAGAUUGGGUCCGGUUAGCUUGCUUGUACGACUUCACCAUGCGGAGGAGACUUUCCUUUUCACCAUCGAUGAUAGAUCCAUCACUUACGUCGCAAUAGGUUCAAUCCAUAGAUGUCGACUGAAGUCGUCAAUAACCAUCAAGAGAUAUCGCACUCCCGAAUUAUGUUUGGAUAGAGAUGUCAUGUCUGCCAAAUCAGCAUCGUCUUGUUCACCUGGCCCGCCAACUUCAACACGUGCACGUUUAAAAGAACGCCUAACUGGUUUUUGUAAACUAUAAUCAUCAAGACUCUUUAUAUAUCUUCUGAUCUUAUAUAUGCCAAAGGUUUUAAUACCUUGUGAUUUCAAUAUUUGGUGAACCUUCACGGGACUGAGAAAUGCACCACCAUUCUCUUUAUUAUAAUAUACGUCAUCUAUAAGUCGUUUCUCUGCCUCAGUCAACAUAUUUGAAAAUAAUGAGACAAAAACAUUUAUGUACAAACUUUUAUUUACAUUGAUACAUAUUACAACGUUUUGUGAAACCAUUCUUCUACACGAUUCAAGGACAUGACCAUUAUACCGACUUUCUGUUUCUAUUUUUCUGUUUUAAGUUCAUUACUUCUC